GGAGCUAAUACCGGAUAAUAUAUUGAACCGCAUGGUUCAAUAGUGAAAGACGGUUUUGCUGUCACUUAUAGAUGGAUCCGCGCCGCAUUAGCUAGUUGGUAAGGUAACGGCUUACCAAGGCGACGAUGCGUAGCCGACCUGAGAGGGUGAUCGGCCACACUGGAACUGAGACACGGUCCAGACUCCUACGGGAGGCAGCAGUAGGGA
rnacentral:rRNA from 1 species